rnacentral:tRNA from 1 species
GUCCCCAUCGUCUAGAGGCCUAGGACAUCGCCCUUUCACGGCGGCAACAGGGGUUCGACUCCCCUUGGGGACGCCA